rnacentral:rRNA from 1 species
GACGAACGCUGGCGGCGCGCCUAAUACAUGCAAGUCGCACGGGCACAUUUCGGUGUGUCAGUGGCGGACGGGUGAGUAACACGUGGGUGAUCUGCCCUUCGGUGGGGAAGUAACUCUUGGAACAGGAGCUAAUACCGCAUAAGCUUACCGCUUCGUUGCUGUAAGUAAAGAUUCAUUGCCGAAGGAGGAGCCUGCGGCGGAUUAGCUAGUCGGU